rnacentral:rRNA from 1 species
UAGGGAAUCUUCCACAAUGGACGAAAGUCUGAUGGAGCAACGCCGCGUGAGUGAAGAAGGGUUUCGGCUCGUAAAGCUCUGUUGUUAAAGAAGAACACGUAUGAGAGUAACUGUUCAUACGUUGACGGUAUUUAACCAGAAAGUCACGGCUAACUACGUGCUAG